UACGUAGGGAGCAAGCGUUGUCCGGAAUCAUUGGGCGUAAAGCGCGCGUAGGCGGCCUCAUAAGUCCGUUGUGAAAGUCAAAGGCUCAACCUUUGAAAGCCGAUGGAUACUGUGAGGCUAGAGUCCGGAAGAGGCGAGUGGAAUUCCCGGUGUAGCGGUGAAAUGCGCAGAUAUCGGGAGGAACACCAAUGGCGAAGGCAGCUCGCUGGGACGUUACUGACGCUGAGACGCGAAAGCGUGGGGAGCAAACAGG
rnacentral:rRNA from 1 species